rnacentral:rRNA from 1 species
CUCAAUGAUUGGGACAACCCGAGGAAACUCGGGCUAAUACCAAAUGUGUUCACUCCUUCUAAGGGGAGUGAGGAAAGGAAGCUUCGGCCUCCGCAUUGAGAUGGGCCCGCGGCCCAUUAGCUUGUUGGUGAGGUAACGGCUCACCAAGGCUUCGAUGGGUAGCUGGUCUGAGAGGACGAUCAGCCACACUGGGACUGAGACACGGCCCAGACUCAUACGGGAGGCAGCAGUGGGGAAUCUUGCACAAUGCGCGAAAGCGUGAUGCAGCAACGCCGCGUGGGGGAAGACGGCCUUCGGGUUGUAAACCCCUUUCAGUUGGGACGAAGCUUCGUCGGUGAAUAGCCGGUUGGAGUGACUGUAUUUUUCAGAAGAAGCCCCGGCUAACUACGUGCCAGCAGCCGCGGUAAUACGUAGGGGGCAAGCGUUGUCCGGAAUCAUUGGGCGUAAAGCGCGUGUAGGCGGCUCGAUAAGUCUGCUGUGAAAGUCCAGGGCUCAACCCUGGGAUGCCGGUGGAUACUGUCGAGCUCGAGUCCGGAAGAGGCGAGUGGAAUUCCUGGUGUAGCGGUGAAAUGCGCAGAUAUCAGGAGGAACACCAAUGGCGAAGGCAGCUCGCUGGGACGUGACUGACGCUGAGACGCGAAAGCGUGGGG